rnacentral:rRNA from 1 species
GUGGAUUAGAUACCCGGGUAGUCCAUGCCGUAAACGUUGGGCACUAGGUGUGGGGACCAUUCCACGGUUUCCGCGCCGCAGCUAACGCAUUAAGUGCCCCGCCUGGGGAGUACGGCCGCAAGGCUAAAACUCAAAGGAAUUGACGGGGGCCCGCACAAGCGGCGGAGCAUGCGGAUUAAUUCGAUGCAACGCGAAGAACCUUACCAAGGCUUGACAUGUUCUCGAUCGCCGUAGAGAUACGGUUUCCCCUUUGGGGCGGGUUCACAGGUGGUGCACGGCCGUCGUCAGCU